rnacentral:rRNA from 1 species
AGUCGAACGAACCUUGCGGAGUUAGUGGCGGACGGGUGAGUAACGCGUGAGAAUACUGCCCUCAGGAGGGGGAUAACGGCUGGAAACGGCCGCUAAUACCCCAUAUGCCGAGAGGUGAAAUGAAUUUCGCCUGAGGAUGAGCUCGCGUCUGAUUAGCUAGUUGGUGGGGUAAGAGCCUACCAAGGCUUCGAUCAGUAGCUGGUCUGAGAGGAUGAUCAGCCACACUGGGACUGAGACACGGCCCAGACUCCUACGGGAGGCAGCAGUGGGGAAUUUUCCGCAAUGGGCGAAAGCCUGACGGAGCAACGCCGCGUGAGGGAUGAAGGCCUCUGGGCUGUAAACCUCUUUUCUCAAGGAAGAAGAUCUGACGGUACUUGAGGAAUAAGCCACGGCUAAUUCCGUGCCAGCAGCCGCGGUAAUACGGGAGUGGCAAGCGUUAUCCGGAAUUAUUGGGCGUAAAGCGUCCGCAGGCGGCCUUGAAAGUCUGCUGUUAAAGCGUGGAGCUUAACUCCAUUUCAGCAGUGGAAACUACAAGGCUAGAGUGUGGUAGGGGCAGAGGGAAUUCCCGGUGUAGCGGUGAAAUGCGUAGAUAUCGGGAAGAACACCAGUGGCGAAGGCGCUCUGCUGGGCCAUAACUGACGCUCAUGGACGAAAGCCAGGGGAGCGAAAGGGAUUAGAUACCCCUGUAGUCCUGGCCGUAAACGAUGAACACUAGGUGUCGGGGGAAUCGACCCCCUCGGUGUCGUAGCCAACGCGUUAAGUGUUCCGCCUGGGGAGUACGCACGCAAGUGUGAAACUCAAAGGAAUUGACGGGGGCCCGCACAAGCGGUGGAGUAUGUGGUUUAAUUCGAUGCAACGCGAAGAACCUUACCAGGGUUUGACAUCCUGCGAAUCCCUUGGAAACGAGGGAGUGCCUUCGGGAGCGCAGUGACAGGUGGUGCAUGGCUGUCGUCAGCUCGUGUCGUGAGAUGUUGGGUUAAGUCCCGCAACGAGCGCAACCCACGUCUUUAGUUGCCAGCAUUGAGUUGGGCACUCUAGAGAGACCGCCGGUGAUAAACCGGAGGAAGGUGUGGAUGACGUCAAGUCAUCAUGCCCCUUACAUCCUGGGCUACACACGUACUACAAUGCUACGGACAAAGGGCAGCAAACUCGCGAGAGCUAGCAAAUCCCAUAAACCGUGGCUCAGUUCAGAUCGUAGGCUGCAACUCGCCUACGUGAAGGAGGAAUCGCUAGUAAUCGCAGGUCAGCAUACUGCGGUGAAUACGUUCCCGGGCCUUGUACACACCGCCCGUCACACCAUGGAAGUUGGCCACGCCCGAAGUCGUUAUUCCAACCCGUAAGGGAGGAGGAUGCCGAAGGUGUGGCUGAUGACUGGGG